GUCUCUCCGCGCGGAGGUAGCUUAGGUUACUCGAUGCUCACAAGUUGAGGAAUGAAAUGGACCAGAAGAGCUCACUUCCAUUGUUGGCAUCAAAACAACUGUAAAGCUCAUUAAUUCAAAUGCAGAGGCUUUAAUUUGGAUUUACUUUAAAGCACAUGUGACCUGUUAUGCAUUUUGAAUGAAACAUGAAAGGUAUAUUGUAUGAGUGAAAUGUAAGUUAUUAAACCACGUGAAACAA